rnacentral:rRNA from 1 species
UACGAAGGGGGCUAGCGUUGUUCGGAUUUACUGGGCGUAAAGCGCACGUAGGCGGAUUGUUAGUCAGGGGUGAAAUCCUGGAGCUCAACUCCAGAACUGCCUUUGAUACUGGCAAUCUAGAGUCCGGAAGAGGUGAGUGGAACUCCUAGUGUAGAGGUGGAAUUCGUAGAUAUUAGGAAGAACACCAGUGGCGAAGGCGGCUCACUGGUCCGGUACUGACGCUGAGGGUGACGGAAGCGGUGGGAGCACAAGGG